rnacentral:lncRNA from 1 species
AAAAUCACUUUAAAUUUUUUAACAUUUUAAGAAAAACUAUAAAUCAAUAACAUUAAUAUAAAAUUUUAUCCCAAAAACUCAACACUAAAUGCAUAAACAAAAAAACAAACAAACCCUAAACCAUAUAAUACUAAGCAUUAUUCUAAAUAAAACCUUAAAUCCAACAUAAACCAAACGCUAAACCUUUUCUAUUGCCUAAAACCCUAAAUCCUACCUAACCCUAAACCCUACAUAAACCUAGACCUUAACCCUAUCUAACCCUAAACCCUUCAUACUACCUAAACCCUAAACUUAUCUAAUUGUAAACCUACCUAACCCUAAAAGUAAACCCUACCUAACCCUAAACCCUAUUUAACCCUAAACUCCACCUAAUCCUAAACCCUUCCUAACCCUAAAACCUACCUAACCCUAACCCUAAACCCCACCUACCCUAAACCCUACCAAAACCCUACUAACCCUAAACCCCACCUACCUUAAACCCUACCUAACCCUAAACCCUACCUAACCCUAGACCCUACCGAACCCUAAACCCUACCUAAUUCUAAACCCUACCUAACCCUAAACCCAACCUAACCCUAAACCCUACAUACCCUAAACCCUUUCUAACCCUAAACCCUACCUAACUUUAAACCCCUUCUAACCCUAAACAUGACCUAACCCUAAACCUUGCCUAACCCUAAAACCUACCUCACCCUAAACCCUUUCUAACCUUAAAUCCUAUUAACCCUACUAACCCUAAACCCUUUCUAACCCUAAACCAUGCUAACCCUAAACCCUUUCUAACCCUAAACCCUACCAAACCCUAAACCCUACCAAACCCUAAACCCUACCUAACCCUAAACCCUACCUAACUCUAACCCCUUUCUAACCCUAAACCCCUUCUAACCCUAAACCCUUUCUAACCCUAAAUCCUACUUAACCCUAAACCCUACCUAACCCUAAACCCUUUCUAGCCUUAAAUCCUACUAACCCUAAACCCUACUAACCCUAAACUUUUUUUAACCCUAAACCAUGCUAACCCUAAACCCUACCUAAUUCUAAACCCUACCUAACCUUAACCCUACAUAACCCAAAACCCUACUAACCCUAAACCCUACCUUACCCUAAAACCUUUCUAACCCUAAACCCUUUCUAGCCCUAAACCCUACUAACCCUAAACCCUACUAAACCUUAACCCUACUAACCCUAAACCCUACAUAACCCUCAACUGUAGCUAACCCUAAAACCUAUUAGUCCUAAACCCUACCAACCCUAAACCCUACCUAGCCCUAAACCCUACUAACCCUAAACCCUACCUACCCUAAACCCUUUUUAACCCUAAACCCUGCUAACCCUAAACUCUGUCUAAACCUAACCCUAAAACCCUACCUAAACCUAACCAUAAAUCCCGCUAAAACU